rnacentral:rRNA from 1 species
UACGAGGGGGGCUAGCGUUGUUCGGAAUUACUGGGCGUAAAGCGUACGUAGGCGGAUAUUUAAGUCAGGGGUGAAAUCCCAGAGCUCAACUCUGGAACUGCCUUUGAUACUGGGUAUCUUGAGUAUGGAAGAGGUGAGUGGAAUUCCGAGUGUAGAGGUGAAAUUCGUAGAUAUUCGGAGGAACACCAGUGGCGAAGGCGGCUCACUGGUCCAUUACUGACGCUGAGGUGCGAAAGCGUGGGGAGCAAACAGG